rnacentral:misc_RNA from 1 species
ACAAACUUGGUCAUUUAGAGGAAGUAAAAGUCGUAACAAGGUUUCCGUAGGUGAACCUGCGGAAGGAUCAUUAAAGAAAGCCUUAGGCUUUUCCUUUUUAAAUUCAACUGCUGUCUUUUCCUGUGUUGCUUCUGCUAGAUAGUUCUUUACACUUGAUAGCAGAAGGUUUAUAUUUAUACUAUUAAUAAGUACAUGAAGUCUGAAUAAAAAUAAGAAAUUAUUUAAAAACUUUCAACAACGGAUCUCUAGGUUCCUGCAUCGAUGAAGAACGCAGC